GACGGAGGGUGCUAGCGUUGUUCGGAAUGACUGGGCGUAAAGGGCGCGUAGGCGGCAUGGCAAGUCGGGAGUGAAAGCCCGGGGCUCAACCCCGGAGGGUCUCUCGAAACUGCCAAGCUAGAGUGCGGAAGAGGCAACUGGAAUUCCCAGUGUAGCGGUGAAAUGCGUAGAUAUUGGGAAGAACACCGGAGGCGAAGGCGGGUUGCUGGGCCGACACUGACGCUGAGGCGCGAAAGCCAGGGGAGCAAACGGG
rnacentral:rRNA from 1 species